UACGUAGGGUGCGAGCGUUAAUCGGAAUUACUGGGCGUAAAGCGCGUUCAGGCGGUUUGGCAAGUCGGGCAUGAAAUCUCUCGGCUCAACCGGGAGAGGUUGUCCGAUACUGCUGGACUUGAGGGCAGUAGAGGGUGGUGGAAUUCCGGGUGUAGUGGUGAAAUGCGUAGAUAUCCGGAGGAACACCAGUGGCGAAAGCGGCCACCUGGACUGUACCUGACGCUCAAACGCGAAAGCUAGGGGAGCGAACGGG
rnacentral:rRNA from 1 species